rnacentral:tRNA from 1 species
GCCUUCGUGGUGUAGUGGUCAGUACACUUGACGCAUAACCGUGAAACCCGUGGUUCGAUUCCCGGCGUAGGCG